AGUCUUGCUAUAAAAAUGAUACUUAUUCUCUUAUUAGUUUAUAUCGUCUCCACCAGAAAAUGGCAAACAAGACGGCGACUGUCUUCCUCCUCCUGGUAUGCUUGUCUUUGAUUUUGGCAACUUCAACGAGAUUUAAACGUUUUUCUUCUCUAAGAUUUCGAAAAGCGCUGGGAGGGAGCCCUGAUGUUGGACCUAAUACUUCAAGUAAUCAACUUGUGUCCGUGGACUCUGCUGUGAACAAUUUAGGACAAGGGAUUGUUUCAAGAAGAUUGUAACACAGCUACGUAGACAUGGAACGAUAAACAGUGUUGGAUAUUCUAUUAUUUUGUCAAAAUAAAAUAACAAUAUAACCUCAUAUUAUAUUACUAAAUAAACUAGAUCAUGCAUUA